AUUGGACGCUGGCGGCAUGCUUUACACAUGCAAGUCGAACGGUAACAGGCCUUCGGGUGCUGACGAGUGGCGAACGGGUGAGUAAUGCAUCGGAACGUGCCCAAUCGUGGGGGAUAACGUAGCGAAAGUUACGCUAAUACCGCAUAAGCCCUGAGGGGGAAAGUGGGGGACCGCAAGGCCUCACGCGAAUGGAGCGGCCGAUGUCAGAUUAGCUAGUUGGUGGGGUAAAGGCCCACCAAGGCGACGAUCUGUAGCGGGUCUGAGAGGAUGAUCCGCCACACUGGGACUGAGACACGGCCCAGACUCCUACGGGAGGCAGCAGUGGGGAAUUUUGGACAAUGGGCGCAAGCCUGAUCCAGCCAUGCCGCGUGCGGGACGAAGGCCUUCGGUU
rnacentral:rRNA from 1 species